AAGGUUUUCAUAAGUCAAAAGGUGAAAUGAUGAGAUGAAAGGUGUCAACUUUUGACAAUAAGGCUAAAUCAUUGAAAAUAAGGAAUUUUCAUCAACCUUAUCACUUUGCACGACCAUUAUUCUGAAAAACAGAAAGAAAAGAAAACCAAAAAUCAUUUCUUGGCUGGUUUGAAGAAAUUCUAAGGAGAUCCAAGUGAAAUCAAAGCCAAAGAAGUAGAUUAAGCUUAGUUCUAGCCUUUUUAUGAUAUUUCUUGGGGUUUCCAAGUGGUUUGAGGUUUAGAAAAGCUUGAAGAGAUUGUUUUCGCCGAAAAGUUGCUCGGAUAAGCAUAUCAACACCUAAGACAUCACUUGUUACACGGUGAAAUAUAUUGUGGACAAAAGUGUGUGGCCGCCUUAACUCUUGAGCCUGACGGGGCAACGAUGGAAUAAGGUUUUUAAUGUGCCCUACUGUGGUGAUGGCUAGCCGGAGGAGAACCCAUGGGAUUUUAUAUUGUAUGUGUAACAAGCCCUGCAGGCAUUGACCAAUUCAAACAGUGUGCACAAUAUUAAGGGGCCCAAAAAUUUAAAAAGAAGUUGUGUAUGUCCAUUGAUAUUGGGUAAUCAUUAGCAUUGCAUGCAUUACUUUGCUUACUGAGCUUUAGGCUCACAGUUGUCUU